rnacentral:rRNA from 1 species
GCCGCAGUUCCCUGUGCUAAGGUAGCGCAAUCACUUGCCUUCUAAUUAAAGGAUCGUAUGAAAGGACACAUGACUUUCUUAUUUUCUCAUAUAUUUUCAAUAAACUUAACUUACAAGUAAAAAGACUUGUAUUAACAAGAAAGACGACAAGACCCUAUAGAACUUCACUAUUGUUAAACUGGGGUGGUCAACAAUAAAAGCUUAUCUUCCCUAACCACACAAAGACCUGAAACUUUCAACAAAAGAACAAGUUACCUUAGGGAUAACAGAGUAAUUCCUCUCUAGACCUGUUCCAAAGAGGAGCUUUCUACCUCGAUGUUGAAUUUAAUAUUACUUCAUGAAUAAACAUUAUACAAGUAGGUCUGUUCGACCUUUAAAAUAUUACAUGAU